GGUCCCUUGGUCAAGUGGUUGAGACACCACCCUUUCACGGUGGUAUCAGCGGUUCGAGCCCGCUAGGGACUACCA
rnacentral:tRNA from 1 species